GACUUUCAGCCCUCAGAGCCGCCCUCAUGUCGCGGGGCAGCGGAAACGGGCGACUAGUUCUGACGACUCCUUGAGGGGAACCCGCCGUUCUCAGCCCGUGCAUCUGUCAGACUCCAGGGGCUGGUCUGCCUCGAAAACAGCCCUUCUUUUGUGUCGCUUUUACCUCUCAACCUUUAUGUUUUUUGUAGGCUUUUGGUCCGUUGGGAAGGGCAGGGUCAGGGGCUGUGCUUGGUUGGUCCCCGUGGCUGAGCGGGACAAGAUGGCGGAGGGUCGGGCCUGGCUAGUCCCGGCCUGGGUCUGGAGUUGGUGCGCGGGGCCAAUUCCAGAGGCUGUUCUUUCAAAAAUAAGAUCGGUUGGGAGCACACCUCUGACCUAGUUUCACUUUUAGAGAAGAAUCUGAAGUGAUGCAGUUUGACGUUUUUGGCGGGAAUGUCGCCGUGUGGCUUGAAAUAAAGAAGGUGCUAGAGAGGGUUUAAACACCCUCCGGGCUGCAGCCGUCUCAAAAACAGACACCAUAGGAAUGGUGACAGGCACUUCAUCCUCCAACAGUACAUGAAAGGAUCAGAAAGUAACGUUUAAACUCUUCACAAUUGAUGCUAAAAAUAACUGUACAAGGAAAUAAAUCCAGUUUGGUAACAGGUAUUUAUGAGGGAGCACCAGCACAGAGGACUCUGCUUAAAACCAAUUUAUUAUUGGUAAAACCUGAAUCCAAGUCCACAUUCUUCUGUUACUGCAUUUAUGCAUUGCUGGCUGUCUGUAGACUGCCCCAUCCUUCGAUUUUUCCGAGUAGAAAGGAGGCAUCAGUAUUGACUGUAUUAGAAGUUACACCUGUGAAUGAAUGUGUUGGUCCCAGCAAAAAUGUAUUUAAGAUGGCUGACAAGACUUUAUAUGUGCUUUGAGUGGAUCUGAAUCUUGAAAAUGGGUAUCAGAGUUCAGAGAUUCACAUUUCACAUUCACAUUAAUUUAAGUUUGAGCAGGUCCUGGCAGCCCCAUCCAGAUGUGUUUCAGCUGAGGAUGAUGCUGUCUGUUCAGGGAUCUGGGAGGUCCUGCCCAGCCUUCACCCUCCAUGUGUUAACUCAGAAGAUGCUUCACAGUAUGGUGAAAGGAGAUCCCAGGAAAUCGGCCCUCCUUUCCUUCUUUGUCGGGAAAGUGUUCCUCUAAAAGCUGCAGGUGGAGCAAGGUAAGAGGAAUAGAGGCAAAGAGAGAAUCUGGAUCUAAAGGUUUUAUGCUACUGUGGAGAAUAAGGUGGUGGCAGCAGAGACAGAGCAAAGAACGGCAGGAGAAAGGGGGUGUAAAUAAGGAAAAAGUGUGAAUUGAAGAGGGAUUUGGCUGUGGAAGUGGUGGGAAAUGUUAUGAGAGAGGAGGGGUAGAAAUCUUAUUUCACAACCAGCUGAAGAAGUGUUCCUUGGGGGAUUUUAUUCAGGAUCACUGGGAAUUGUGUCCCAGUGCCGACUGUUACCACAUGGAGGCAGCAAACUAUGCAAAAGCAGGGAUUUAACAAAAUCCGGGGGGCUGUGAAAGCACUCCGAACCUACUCCUGGGUGUAUUUAUGCUAAUGAUCAGUGAUGCAUCAGGGUUUUUUUAAUUCCUGUGAUGUUUGGGUUAGUGUUUUAUGUUUUAUGACCCCUUGGCUACUCCUUGGACAAUCCUCUGCUGCUAAAUUGUGUGUUGUACCCAUAGAUUUAUGCUGUUCGACACGACUUCUCCCAGAACAGCCUGUUCUUCAUGCUGGAGGUGUUGCUGUGUGGUGCUGUGAGCACUUACAGCAUUUGCAAAAGCUUUAUUAUGGAGGAACAUAAAAAUUGGUUAUUGUGCAGUAAGUGCCACAAAUUAAAGAAUAUAAUAAAAAGAUUAGGGAAAUUUAUUAUUGCAGCUUUUGCUUGUAAAAAGCAAAAGGAGAAAACCUUGCUUCUGUAGUGUAGGUGGGUUUUAGAUUUAACUGUAGAUUUAACUGAAAAUUCUAAGUUUUUUUUGAUUGUUACCUGUUUAAUGAUACCCACUCUAACAAUGUCAUGAAUGUUUUCAUCUGUGCUCUAUUUGCUUCUGUAACUACCUGCAGAUUUCAAUAUCCAUUAAGGGCAUUUAGUAUUUUUCAUCUUCAUCUUUCCAGAAUUAAUAAUGUACUAAGAAUAGGAAGGCAAAAUGUAGAAUAGGACCUGGUCUUGGACUUGCCCCUUUGCACAAGAUAGUAUCUUCUGUUUCCUCCACUGCAUGGAAAUCUUAUUACUUCUUGCUUGAUUUUGCAUCUUGCUAAUUUCAAUAAUUAGAAUGUUUAGUGGUCUUAGAAAAAAGUUCUCGUAGGAAUGCAGGGAGUAGUCUUUAUCAUAAUCAGCCUUGACUGGAUUUGAGCCAGUGGUCAAGGGAUUUGAGCUUGUGGAAGCCAGAAUGCUCCUACAGAUUAUCUGCAGGGAUUUCCUUGUAAAUGGAAUGCCAGCAUGUGUAGUUAUCUGUUCCCUGUUAAGUCUCAAGCUGCACAUGCUUAAUCUUUACUUAUAUGGUACCUGAUUCUUACUGUAAAGUGGGCCUCAGUUUUAACUUUUGAUCUCAGGAAGAAGGGGCUAUUAUAACAAAUUCUAAUCCAUUUGCAGUUCCACAAUCACUAAAGCCUAUAAAUUGCCUGCCAAACAAGCCAAGUGAUCUUUUCCUGGGCUGAGGGAAAGAGGAGAGUGUAAAACACAGGUGCUGGCAUUUGCUGGGGAAGAACUGGUACAUUAUCAACUAAUCCGCCUUCUGCUAUUUCUGAUUUCCUCCCAACAGCUGCAGCUUUGAAUGAGAGCUUCUGCAUUUGGAAAGAAUUAGAAAGCCUGGUAAUGCAGGGUCUCUAUUACAGAUACAACAGCUCACAGACAGGGAGGAGAUUUUUGCUGCUGUUUUAGAAUUUUGAGUGUUAAGCAUUUUAUAGCCUGGAAAAAUUGUAAUUUUCAGCUGUUGUUAUGGAGUAAUCAAUGAAGAAGAGAUGCCACAGUUUCUGCUGGAUUUCUCUCAAAGCCUGAUGUCAUUGCAUGAAGGAGCUUUUUUUUUUUUUUUAACGUGCCACUGAGGCAGAAGCACACACAGUUUUCGUUAAAACUUUUUUUCUUAUGAUGACUGAUGCUCACUGAUAGUUUUAGACCUUCUGAAAUAUCUUUGCUUCUGUAGUGAUAACUCCUGUAUCAGAUAAAAAUGUUCAGAAGAAAUUGUUCCUUGCCAGACCAUUGAAAUAUUAUUACAUUUAAGUUAUUUUAUCUAAUCAGUGCUUAGCUUGGGAGUACGUGUUGAUAAUUUUUUGUCCUCAUCAAAUAGUCUGUGACUUCACUCAAGAAUGAGUGUGGCCAUUCUGCUAAAUGUAAUAAAGGACAAUGUCCUCAAAGAGAGCACAGUGUGCAGAGCAGACCAGGGAAAGCUGCUGCAGCAAAUGUCCUACAGCUGAAGUGCUCCACUCUAAUGUCACAACGUGUCCCCUGAACAGCCCAGUGGCAGCAAAUCCAGCCCUGGAAAGAAUAACUCAGCCAAACUGAUGCGGUCAGUCCAGUUAAUCACUGGCUAUGGUGAAAAUGGGAAAGUCUGACUCUUUUCAUUAACGUGAUAUGUUACAGUUAAACCUCAAAAUGAGAACUGUGUAGGACUGGCUUAGUCAGGAGAAUAACGAUGACGUGCAUUUCAGUUUGAGAAGUGCAGGCUCAUUGCUGCUUCCAGAGAAAGUCAGUUGAGUGGAGACAGUUUUGUGGGCUCUCCUUAAUUUUAGUUGCAGGAGACAUUCUCUUUCCUACAAAAGAAACCUUGCCUUUGAAACCUGCUCCCUCUGGUAGCACCCCAGAGCUGAAUUUGUCAGUGUGCAGCACCCAGUGCACGACUCAUCUCUUCAAUUCAGCCUUUCCAAGUGCAAGGACAGAUCAGCACCUGCGUGGCUGGAGAUGGAAAACCCAGCCUUGUGACAUUUAUAUGCCAAUAUGGGAAGACCUAAAAAGAGGACAUGUGAGACUAGCAUGGCAUUUGCCGGUACCAGGUUGCCAAGGAGGCAUAUUGUAUUGAAACAGUUGCCUGGGAAACAUUUAAAAAUACAUUGAAUGGAAAAGCAUAUGUGAUAUGCCCACAAGUGUUCUGUGUGAAUGAAAUGCUAUGGCUGAUGAUGGCACCAAGAGACUGUUACUAUUACAUGUAAAAAUGCUGCAAGUGAUGUGUGUUUUUUCCCCUUUUGUGGUGUUUUCCUCCCCUGUUUGCAGGAGGUGCACCGAGGGAAAGCUGUUUUGCUCUUGGCUGAUGGAUUAAAGUGAAUGUGGGGAUGGUGGAACACACUGGAAGCAGCAGCAGCUGGGUAUGGCAAGAGCAAUUUGGCUUCAUGUAAGCAACCUAAACCAAUUGACAAAGAGCCUGCACAAUUCCCCCUCAAAAGUAACAACAGCACUGCUCAAACACCCGCAAUAUAAAGAUAAAUGGUUCUCUGAUCAUUGCCACUUUCAUUGGUGCUACAAUGGGUAUUGGGAAGCUCUGAUAUCAUUGCAGUGGGACUUACCUGUAAACAUCAUGGAAAAUGCAAGCGUUUUGAUCAAAGGUUUGACAACAUAUAUGAAAAAGUCUCCCACUGACCUUAUUAUCAUCAAGAAGAUGAUGGGGGAAAGUUUCAGAAGACAGUUAACUCUAGUUAAGCUCUAGUUCUUCCUCAGAUCAGAGUCAAUUUCUGAGAGAUGGUGCUGACAAAAAAGAAUUAUGUCACCAGAACCAAAACAAACAAUCAUAUUCACUCUUUGUCUCACAGAAAAAACCUUUAUUUUCCUAUGCAGCCAAGAAACAAGGAACUAGGAACUGUAAUCUUCGAUAUCCCACCUUGGACAAAGAGGUUCUAUCUGCUAGCAACUUCCAGAUGCUAAAAUGUGUCUCUCCUUCACUAAGAAUGAGUGGCAGGUGUGAGGCUGGUUAGGAUUAUGGUCACCCUGCCUAAUCAUCCUUUGGAGAUUUAGAAACAAAUAUCCUACUCUCGAUUUGCUAGAGGCUUAAGAAGCCUGUUUUGGAGCCAGCAGGUUUAGCUUGGUCCAGGCUUUAUGUGGUGCAAUAAAUUUUUUGGAUGAGACAUGCAGUGGAGAGUUCAGUUGAGUAAGAAAGAAGGUUUGGAGGCAUUUUUGUUGGUGGUAGCUCUGCGAAGAGUUGCCUUACAGGGGAGGGCACCAGGGCCUUGGCUCCUGGAAGAUGUUGCCUGUUUGGGGCUGGGAGGUUGCUGUCUGUCUGGUGAGUGCAGUUCCCCAGGGAGGAGGAGACUUUGCUGUCAGUUUGACCAUUGAGGAGAUGCUUUUUCGCAUUUUGGUUAUCUCUUCAUUUCAGCACUAUCUGCUCAGGGGUUUGAGGUGGUGGGAUGAUCGCAUUGGAAGACCAUGAAUCAGAUGAAGUCUCCUUGGUGUCAGUCAAUUCCCAGUGUCACUCAUCAUUUUUCUGGCCCAGUGUGUGUUUGGUUAAAUCAAGUCUUGCUGUUUCUAGGCCCUGGUGUUAGUGUAAGAGAGGAGGAGAAUCUGCCUUUCAUCCUCUCAGAAUUUUGCAAUGUGACUGAAAACUUGGAGAGAAUGUGUCAGAUUUCAAAGAUUAGGUUUGAUGGCAUGGAGCUGUGGGUUCUGUGGCCCAGCCCAGAAUUCUGCUGAGGGAGUUGUAUCAUCUCCCCAUACUUUAAAGGAUUUAGACUCAGAGUUUAGGAUGAAAUUUGGCUUGAGGUUUUCAUAUUUAUUUCUUGCUUGCUUUCUUGUUUUUUGGGGUUUUUUUGUUUGUUUUUAUUUAAUUCUAAGUGUAUCUCACAAAUUAUAGCCAAUAGAAGUCU